GCCCGCCUAGCUCAAUCGGAUAGAGCGUCAGACUCUUAGGCGGGCUACACGUCCUUACUACGUGCAUCUGAAGGCUGCGAGUUCGACCCUCGCGGUGGGCU